UUAGACCUCAAAUCAGUCAGGAUUACCCGCUGAACUUAAGCAUAUCAAUAAGCGGAGGAAAAGAAACUAACAAGGAUUCCCCUAGUAACGGCGAGUGAAGUGGGAAAAGCUCAACUUUAAAAUCUGGCAGCUUCGCUGUCCGAGUUGUAGUCUCGAGAAGUGUUUUCCGCGCUGGAUCGUGUAUGAGUCUGUUGGAAUACAGCGUCAUAGAGGGUGAGAACCCCGUUCAUGACACGACUACCAGUGCUUUGUGAUACACUUUCGAUGAGUCGAGUUGUUUGGGAAUGCAGCUCAAAAAUGGGUGGUAAAUUCCAUCUAAAGCUAAAUAUUGGCGAGAGACCGAUAGCAAACAAGUACCGUGAGGGAAAGAUGAAAAGCACUUUGGAAAGAGAGUUAACAGUACGUGAAAUUGUCGAAAGGGAAACGCUUGAAGUCAGACGUGCGCGGUGCGAUUCAGCCUUGGUUCGCCAGGGUGUACUUCGUACCAUUGCAGGCCAGCAUCGGUUUUGUGAGCCGGAUAAAGGUUAGAGGAAGGUAGCGGUCCAGGCCGUGUUAUAGCCUCUAACUGAAUACGGAUUGUGAGACCGAGGGACGCAGCGCGCCGCAAGGCAAAGGGUCCGCCCUUUUCGCGCUUAGGAUGCUGGUGAAAUGGCUUUAAACGACCCGUCUUGAAACACGGACCA
rnacentral:rRNA from 1 species